GACUGAAGGACCGGUUCUUCAGAUUUUGGCAGCUCAUCACUGCCUAGUACACUUUCCAACUCCUAAUUCAGGGAAUCAAUCAUAGAGCUGGGAAGUGAUGACAGACUGUAUCCUUUUUUGGACACUGAUAAACUGAUUGAAAACCAUCCAACAUAGCCUACAUUUUUUUGAAAGUCAGAAUCUUAAACCUUUGGGCAAUAUGUGUUCUAGUAAGCCAUGCAUUCUCAUAAGCAGCUUAAAGAGAAACCUCAAUGACCAAAGUGGCUGUACAAAUAUUGUAUGCAUUGGUACAAAGAAGGCCAACUAGCAGAAUGUGUGUCAGUCAAAAAAUUUUAACUUCAUUAGCUUCUGACAUUCUAAAUGAUCUUCAGAGAUUACACAAAGGGUCACUGAUUUACUCCCUACAAGGGCUAUGUUACUGAAAACAAGCUACAUAAUUUAUAAUCUAUUACAUUUAUUAUUAUUGUUUAUACAGCACCAUGGGUGUAUGGAGCUUUACACACAAAUAAAAUUGCAUGUCCUUGCUCCAAAGAGCUCACAAUCCAUAUUAAACUUAAUACAGCAAAGGAUGUCAAUAAACAAAGGCUCAUGGACAUAGGAGGACAAGGGCUAUGUAUUGACUGUCUGAAGAUGUCCUUGCAAAACCCUGCAGCUUAGUUGGAUAAAGGUUAAGGCAGAGGACAGGGAGACAAAAUUCCCAGGUUAUCUUCUAAGUUUGGAAAGUAAGCUUUCUUUCUGUCCUGGGGCAAGGAAGUUAACCUUUCUGAGUUCAUUAUAGCCUUGUGUAAAAUACCUAUCUCACAGGAGUCUUAUGUGUGUAACGUGUUUGAGAUACAAGGAUGGAAGAGUGUUAAUUAUUAUUAGCUGUUCAGGAGCUGUGUGGUGGCCUUAUUGGUAGCAGCUAGGUACAGAAGAAAGAAUUAAUUUUCUGUCAUUUAUUCAGUUACAUAGAUCUAAGGAAAAAUGUCAUGAAGCAGAAUGGCCUGGCCAUUUUGCUGAUGCCUCAGAGCAGAUUCUGUUAUACCAUGAUAAGUUUGCAUGUGGGGGUGCUGUGAGAGGUAAUAAAAGGAAAAGCUGGGCACUGAGGAAGAUAAAUAAAAUUAACUGUUCAUCAGCACUUCAAGGGAUGAGAUCAUUCCUUAUGCCGAUCUCCCUACUGGUUAUUCUAAAUAUAUUUUCAUGGUCAUCUAAUGGGAACUAUGAAGGGUCCCUUUGAUUUCUUUUUCUAUCUUUGUAUGAUUUUAUGUUGAAUACCCUUUCCGCUAUUAGCCGGUGCAGAGUUGUCCAAGUUCUGUCACAUGUAAAAACUUUAUAGCCCAGCAUUAUGCUUCAGUUUAUACACUGGUGACCUUCCAAGAGGCAAAUGCUGACAUACUAUGGAAUCUAGGUACAAGAUACAAACAUCUCAUAUCCAUAUGUCUCUGAUUCAAAACAAGGGUUGAAAAGUCUUUCUAGGAUGCACAAGGGCAGAGACUGGGGAAAGACAAAGAUCUCAAAAGGGAAGAUCUCAGUGAUGUAUUUUAAAGGGUAAGGUAAUAAACAUACUCUCUUCUCAUUUGCAUCUGUAAUACUCAUAUACGCACUGUGUUGUGAUCCUUAUUUCUAGGAAUAUCUUCUGAGAGAGCCCUCUCCUGUGUAUAUUUUAAAUGGAACAGGCAAACACGUUGGACGCAAAUGUUGUGGGCUCUAGUUCCUCCUUCAUGUGCAAUGGAGCCACAAACUCAGAGUCAAAAUGAAUAAUUUUUUUACAAUGUUAUGUUAACAAACUACAAAAGGGUAGGUUAAGCGGUUUCUCAUUAGGGUAAGGCUGUUGCUCAAACCUUUGAGCUCCCUGUUCUUGAAAAUGGGUUACCAGAGCAACUACAUCUCUCAGCAAUAAGGGAUGCUACUUAUUAACCUCUUAAUCAAGAAUAUUUUGGUGCCCAGACUAAUGAAGUGUGUGUGUGGCUUGUUCAUGUCGUAUUUAGUUAUUGACAAGAAACAAGGAAGAAAGGGGAAAACUGAUUAUGAUAUGAGACUCCUAAAUAGCCAAGAUAAUCAUUCUAAUGAAGACCAAAUAUUGGCUGCCAGCUUUAGGGACAGAAUUUUAGAUAAGAAGGAAUCUGAGAUUCUAAAAGAAUAAAGUCCUAGAAGCCUGAAAAAAAUUAAUCAGGAGUCAAACUCUCUCCAGACAAGAGCCAGUGAAACUUAAAUGUAAAGCUAUCUGUAGAAACCUAUCUGAGUGACUUGAUUUUCAGAGCUACUCAGCACCUCUGACAAUCAGGCCCUAACUGACUAACAUUGAGCCCUCAAAAAUAAGUUGCACACCCUACUUUAGGGGCCAGUUUAGGCACCCAACUCUGAAAUUGUUGAUCAAUUUUCCUUUAUGGGUGAGGGGAAGAAAAAGUUCAAUUGCAGUAAAGGAAAUUACUGUGGAAGGUCUGCAAUUGAGGAAUUUGCUGAGUGGAAAGAAAAUAUGAAAGGGCAUGUAACUACUGUAUGGGUUUUACAAAUGGGGCCUGAUCCUAAACUACAGAAAUCAAGGAGGCCUUCGAAGAAUUAAGGCUUAAGUAGCUGUGGAGCUUGACUUAGCCAGUGGAACAACUUGGAUCUGUAAAAGAUGACAAGGAGUAUUGAGGGAAGACCAGGAAAGUCUGUUAUCUACUCCUGCAACAACCUUUCCCCCAGAUCUAUGAAGCAAAAGUCCAAAGAGAGUAUUGAGAAAUUUAGCAACACCAAGAAAGAGCAAAGGGCUAGCAAGGAACAAAGUGCCAUUCAAGUUCCAAAACUCAUAGGAGACCCAGGAGAGUGCUUAAUCAGUAAUUGGGGCUAAAAGGUUAAGUAACAUGUUAAAAAAGAGCUAGGAACAUAUUAUGGGAAAACUAGGAAAAGAAGAGGGUACCAUUUAUUAAGAAUCUCCUUAUAUCAUUAAAAUAAACAUAUCAAAUUAAGUCAAAUAUGUUUUUAUUAUGUGUAGGAAGGCUUGGAGGAAGGAUAGGAGCCAGCAGCUAUAUGUGUAAUCAGACCUCCUGCAUGCCUACUGAUUAAAACUCUUUAUAUACAUAUGUUUUGCAUCAAAGUAGUCUCUCAUGAAAGUAAAGAGUUGAGAGCAAAGUUAACAACUUCAAGAAUUCUCAAAGCAAAAAAGAAAAAAAGGAUAUGGACAAGAUUCAGAGGUGAGUCCAGAGAGAGCCUAAAAAUAUUGUAAUUUAUACCUUCUUCUGGCUCCCUCAAUGUGCUCUUCUCUUUCUGAAGAUCAUGGGGGGACUUAGACUCCCUCUAGAAUCUGUUAGGAUUUAGAUUCAUUCUAGAUUCCUACCCACUUAAUGACUUGUAGCUACACAUGCACAUAAACACAUAUUUAUAUAUCACUGAAUUUAUGUAUCACUGCAUCAACAUGUAAGAGCUAAUGGGUUGGUAUCACUCACAUACCAAGGAGUCAGAAGAGUGGAAAUUACCAAGAAAAGCAAACAGGAGGAUUUAAGGGUGUGAAUAGUUCUAUCUCUUAUUUUAAAGUUAGGAGGGGUCAUUUUAGGCCCCAUUUCUGCCACUCUUACUCAUGUUAAGUAGGAACUUGCUCCACAAGCAGUCCCAUUGAUUUAAACCUGAAAGUGGUAAAUCUCUGGAUGUCUGUGGAAAGGGUACUCUGAAGAAAAGGGUACUCUGAUUUGACACCAUCUUUGACAUCAUGUCUGAAUAUGAUUCAGUAAAAGAAGACAAAUCAGGAGAAGUUCAGCUCUAUGGAGUAAUCAUCUUGAAAAUUGCAGUGUCUACUCAGUCUCUGUGGGAGAGGACAGACUUAAAUCUGGUCAUAAAGGCUUUGGACAUAUAGCUGCAAUACAUGAAACAACAACUUCAGUGCUAUGCUAAAUUUGCUUCUCAAAAUAAGGAGAUCUUUAACUUUUCCAUACCUUACAACCAGUCCUCAUGUCCUUCAUUUUAGACGCAAAAGUGCCUGUGUUUCACACAAACCUGUUUUGUGUGGGUCCACUGGAAUUACUAUAAGUUGUGACAUAAAAAAUGCUAACUUAUUAAACUAAUGCUGUAUAAAUAUUGACAGAAUAUGAUAAUCCUAUCUCAUUUUCAGAUUUCUUUGCCAUUGUUUUUGUGAUGUUCCGUGCUCUGGGUUUGUGCCACACGAUACCUUUUUAAUUAUCCUGGUGUAGUCCUUGGCUGUUAGAGGUAUCAGAUGACCAACCUUUUGUGGAAAAUAUUUCUGGUUCUGAGGCAAAAGAUAAAGCAAGGACCAAAGUAAUAUCAGUUUUAUUUCCAAAAUGGAAGAUAGUAGGACUGGAUCCAAAGCCCAGUCCUCCUUUGUCGACUUCUUUCGUCACUGGCUGCUGGUCAGCUGGUCAGCAGGCAUGGAGGGGGCACCUCUUAACGUCGCUACACCAGAGGCUGCUAAUUAACACAGAGAUACAGAAGCACUCUGCAGCUCAUAGCUCAAGCUAUGACUGAUGAUUUCUGAAAGGGUGGAAUUCUGAGCAAUUGGACUGAGAUCCCUACAGUCAUUCUAGGUAACCCUGACAGAAUAUCGGAAACCAGCAAAUUAUUACACCUUUGCUAUCAAAUUGAAUUCAUAAACUUUGAUUCACGCAUAAUGUAUUUUACCUGCUUUAACCUCUCAAUCGCUCUCAUUUCUUUUUCUUAGCUAAUAAAUCUAAUAAAUAGUUCAGUUUACUAAAGAAAUUAGCUUCAGCAUGAUCUUUGAGAUCUGAAGUACACCUUGAUCUGGGGUAAGUGACUGGCCCUUUGGGGCUGAGAGUAACUGAAUGUGUGAUGAUUUUUUGGUUUUAAUAACUAUUCAUCAUUAAUUCCAGUCUAUCUGGGUGGUAAUAUAGGCUGGAGUGUCUAAGGGGACUGGCUGUGGCUCCAUGGUAGCUAAUAUAUUGAUCCAGGAACACACAUUUGUUGCUGGUUUGGUUAAAUCUAAUUACAGAGUAUGCCACCAGUUUGGGUGCAUCUGCCCUGUUUUCUGACAAUGUGACCUGAGAUUGGCCCUCUCAGCUGUGACCCAUUCCAGGACACUGUGACAAUUUAUACAUUUACUUUCUCAUUCAUCAUCUGAUUUAUCUGCACUUGCCUGGCACAACUGGCUUGACUUCUGCAGAGUUUUAAAUAGCUCCUGUCUUGCCACAUGGUUUAUGUCUGCCUCUGAUUUUCUUCUUUGGCCCCCACCCUCCCUGCUGGGCACCUCUCUGUGUCAGGCUCCCACAAAUUGUCCACAGUUGUGUGUGAUGGGGUCCAUGCCAAAUGUUUCAUUCAGUUCACUGUAGAAGAAGAAGGUCUGUGGGGCAGCCCCAGAUUUGUUGCUUUCCUCCCUUGUCUUCUGAUAUGCUUGCUGGAGUUCCUUUGCUUUCACAUGCUGCUGCUGCUGCUCAUGCCUGUCGUGCCCCAGUUUUAGCAUCCCCUGUGCAAUCUGCACAUAGGUGUUGAUAUUUCUAUGGCUGUUCUGUAGCUGUGCUUGCAUAUUCUCUUCCCCCACAGGCCAAGAAGAUCCGUAACUUUUUUAGGAAUGCUUCUAAUAGCUAUCUGUGUGCAUGGAUGUGGCCUGGUCGGAAGCACUCAAGGGUGGGUUUAGGUGGUAUACUUGCCAAAGUAAGCUAUCAUCAGGAAAAGGCAUUUUAAAAACACACUGGAGGCUUUAAAAGGGAUAGAGGAGGUAUCUGUCACUCCUAGGUAGCAGAGUUUAAAAUUGUGAUUGGAGCGGCCACUGUCACAGGGGUAAGAGUAGGGGCAUUAAGAGACAGUUGCUGGAAGACUGUCAGAUCAACACCAGUGAUGCAGUGUCUACACUCAUAUUGUGUCAGUGGAAAUAGAUUGACUGUGGCUCUGUGUUGUGCAGGGAGGGGAUAGUGUGUCACUGUAAUAGGGUGCUUAUGUUGGCAGGAAAUAAAUUUAGGAAUAGAAGCAUGCAUAGCUCGGUUGAAACAAAUUGACUUAGGUUAAUCUAAUUUUGUAGUGUAGAGCAGGCCUCAGCAACAGCUCCACCACUCAUCCAAACUCUGUGGUAAAUGUUUCUAGGAGGACAGGCCCUGUUGGAAAAUGGCCCAAACAUCAGCUCACAACUCCAAAAUGGAGCUUUCAGCAAACAAAGACAACAAUUCAUGGGGAUGAAGAUACACACACUCUUCUGGUGCAAGCAUUGUGGAGGACACCUGAACCUUCCAUGGUCACUAACAGAGGACAGCAGAAUUGGACUUAGGAAAAUUACUUGGGUAUAUGUGGAUAGUAGAUAAAAUAUUUACCACUAGAGCAUUCCCUUUGCAAUAUCAGUCCUUACCAAAGUAAAUGCCUUGCAUUAAAUACACUAAGUUAAAAAAACCCUCAUUGAUAUGUCUCCAUUAUAUGCUAAAGUAGUUUUACUGCUCGUAGCCUUAAAAUUAAUUACCAUUUGGAAGCACUAUCUCAGCAUGGUCCAGUAAAAUAAAUUGGCUCACUUAGAGGGCCGAGUCAUUGGUGGUGGUCCCCUUUUAUGAUGCUUGAAAACCCAAACCAAACACGUUUUUCUCAACGUAGACUCAUGAAUUUUUACAGAAGGCUUAUGUUGCUCUCUUAUUUAUUCAUCCUGUCUAUUAUUGUAUGUAAUUCUCUUUGUAAAUCGCCUCCCACUCUAAGGUAAUCAUCAUCCAGCCUUCCUGCAUGUGACGUGUUUGUGUUUGAUUUGCCAAAGCAGUGCCAUCAAAAUGUUUUGAGGAGUGCUUCUUGUGUGUCUUUUCUCUUCUAUAUUCUGUGCGCAUUGUCUCAAUGACAAAUCAUCUUACCCAGUCCUGAUGUAAAAUAAAUACAUUGGCUGCAGGGAGGAAAAGAAGAUUUUUCACUUCUGUUAAGUCUUUAUUGUGAAAAAUCUGAGGGAAAACUUGCCAGAUGGUUGCAGGCUCUAUAAAACUUGCCAGAUGGUUGCAGGUGAAAAUAUUUAGAUUGCAAGCUUUUUGUGCAGAUCUUGACAUUUUUCAAAGCUUUAGAGCUGAUGAUGGAAUCAGAUGGUAAAUCAGAGCUGUCCCAGAAUGAGAUAACUCUGCAUUAUCUUAUUACAGAACUGAGUGGAUAAGCAUAACUUUGUUUGAGCUUCACAAGGGAAAGUGUGUGAACAUGGCCUUUCUCAAGCUAUUUGCCUUCCAAAGGUGGAAGUAACACAAAAAUAGCUUUUGAAAUAGCUUGAGAAAGGCCAUUCUCUUCUUAUUUCUUGACAAUAGGGGAUCAGGGCAUGACAUUUUCAGAGCCAUUUGAGAGAACAGAAGUUGAGGGGCAUCUGGAAAUAUGCUGGCCCCUACGGGGGAAGAAAUUCCCCAAACACAUCAUAUUAAAGGAGUGAAACUAAAUUUUUUACAAAACCAUGAAUAGAAAUGAAUGAAAAAAAUUGAAGGAAAGAUUAAAAGAUCCUUAUAGAAUUACUUGCAUCAUGGUUAAGGCAGGAAUCUUUCUGGAGAGAAAUGAACCACUAAACAUGCUCUAUGGAUCAACUUUUAUGUGGCCAGUCAGGGCUAAA